UACGUAGGGGCCGAGCGUUGUCCGGAUUUAUUGGGCGUAAAGAGCUCGUAGGUUGUUCGCUAAGUCGGAUGUGAAAACUCGGGGCUCAACCCCGAGACGCCAUCCGAUACUGGCGUGACUUGAGUCUGGUAGGGGAGAUCGGAAUUCCUGGUGUAGCGGUGAAAUGCGUAGAUAUCAGGAGGAACACCGGUGGUGUAGACGGCUCUCUGGACCGUAACUGACGCUGAGACACGAAAGCGUGGGUAGCAAACAGG
rnacentral:rRNA from 1 species